CCUACGGGUGGCUGCAGUGAGGAAUAUUGGUCAAUGGGCGUAAGCCUGAACCAGCCAAGUCGCGUGAGGGAUGAAGGUUCUAUGGAUCGUAAACCUCUUUUGUAAGGGAAUAAAGUGUGGGACGUGUCCUAUUUUGUAUGUAACUUAUGAAUAAAGAUCGGCUAAAUUCGUGCCAGCCGCCGCGGUAAUAAGGAGGAUCCGAGGUUUUUCCGGAUUUAUUGGGUUUAAAGGGUGCGUAGGCGGACUUUUAAGGUAGCGGGUAAAGUCCGUGGCUCAAACAUAGAAUUGCCGUUGAAACUGGUGGGCUUGAGUAUGUGUGAGGCAGGCGGAAUGCGUGGUGUAGCGGUGAAAUGCUUAGAUAUCACGCAGAACCCCGAUUGCGAAGGCAGCCUGCCAGGCCAUGACUGACGCUGAUGCACGAAAGCGUGGGUAUCAAACAGGAUUAGAUACCCUUGUAGUC
rnacentral:rRNA from 1 species